ACAAAAUACAAAAAAGCUUCAAAGAGUUUAGCAAGAACUUUUUUUUAUUUACACAGUGGAGAAGAAAAAAAAACUCGGGAUGGAUACAGUUGAACACACUGCCUCUACAAUCCUGGUCGUACAAGUAGUGACUAAGAAUUAAAAGAAAGGACUCUUUCUAUUCCAUACUGGAGCUUUGGUUGUUUACAAACCACAUGGAUAUCUGUGGGUGCAGUUUUGUUUUUGUUUUUUUGUUUGUUUUUAAAUUUUUUGUUCCCACAUAAGACGGGUGGGGUUUGCAAGUGCGCUUCUGCCAUAUGGACAUUGAGUGGUGUUUUUUUUUUUUUUUUUUUUUUUUUUUGAGGAAGAGUGGCAGGCAUCACAAGAACAUGGACAAGAUCCUCUAACUGGACCCUUGUUUGUGGUCCUGAGACUCGAUGAUCAACCACGGAGCGGAGGCGGGGAAAAUCAAGGACGGGCUCCGUUUUGUGGAGUGCAGGGCUUGCAGAACCCUAGAGGGGAACUGAGAGGGGCGAUAUGAGUACACACUUUUGUCUUCACCUCAACCCUCAUAAGCACUCGCACACCCUGCCCUCACCAACUCACCUAUGCACUUUUGUUCAUUCAAGCUGUGAGGUACCAUUUUGGGGAUGGGAGCACAAUUACAACAGGAGGAUUGCUACGACUUUUGACAAAGUCACUGAAAAAGAUAUUCCCAAAACUGAAACGAGACUCGAGAAGCACGCCUUCUCCCACCUCCUGUAUAUAUAUCCAUAUUUUUGUAUUAUCUUUCAGAUUAGAAAGAAAAAUUUGGAUGAAGGAAAAAUUCAUGAGACGCUGAUUCUAUGGAGUGAAUGUUCUUCAAGGAAAACCAAUCUUUUUUUGAAUAUAGUUUGAGAUAGACUCGCUGUGAGUUUCCCUUAGUUUGCCAGUAGCCCUGAGAUAAUCGGGGAUGGAAGGGGGGGGGGGAGAAAAAAAUGGACUGGAGCUGUUGGACGUGCUACAGUGUCUCCAAGACUGAUUAUUAAAAAAAUGGAUGCUGCAGUCGCUACAAAAAGCCCCGCCAAGAGUGUUUGAUCAACAGUAAAGAUGCAGUUUGAAGAGCUUUUGGCAAGGAUGCUUCCAUUUCAUCUCCCAACCCGAUGACCGCCUUUGAGAGCUGUGGAGUGACUGCAGGAGGAAGAAAUGUUGGCAAUGGAGUCUGGCUGUGCUUUAUUUGCUGCCCUCUGCAAGGAGGAUCUAAUCUACAGCCAACCCAUGAACCAGUUAACCCUGUCCCCUUCGAACUUUAACCCUAAGAAACUUUUUCUGUCUCGACCUCGGACCGGGCAGGCCCAUGGCAUUAUCAGUUGGACAGUUACCAGAUGAAGUUACAGGUUUAUCGACCGUGGAUCCCAUCUGUGUUGGACGUGUCAGGUUGGGGAUUUGAUCAGGCGCUCCCUGGCGAGGACGAGGAUAAAGAGGCACGAAUCGGCCCAGAUGUCAUCACCCACCUCGGCCUGAAACUCUCAGGAGGUCUUCGAACCAGCGGGGCCGAAGACCUGCCCUCCUGCCCCAGACGUCAGACUGAGAGCUGGAUUGGGUUUCGAUGGUUGGAUUACAUCUGAGUCACCAGAAAUCCCUGCAGCUGCGGAACUGGAUGAACUGAAAGAAUUGUACAAAAAGACUUAAAAACAUGACUUAACACGUAGCUACAUGUCACAUAGAUUAGAGUUCAAAAAGAGUUGCAGACACACUACAUGCACACCUACUAAAGCAACGAAGUCCCAUCGUCUGCACACAUAACAGGGCUGCAUCAAUACAAAUCACACACACACACACACACACACACACAAGCAGCAUCGCUCAUCAGUAUAAACGCUGAGCUUUGUAAAUAAUGUAAAAGUUUGUGUUUUGAUUUUUUUCUCUCAUAGUGGUUUUGCUUUAUUUCUCUGUUCAACAUGCCUUAAAUUGUAUAGUUUCAACGGAUAACUGAAAAUUGUUUUCCAAACGAUGAACUUAAGUUGGAAACCACCUCCUUAACUGUCCUCAAAGAAAGAAAGGAGCUUUCUAACAAGACUGUUUACUGUUGGCCAACGGGACGGUCUGAUCUGUAUUAAUUUGAUCCAUCUGAUCACCUCGAAAGUUACUCUUUAGCUACAGAAUAGAGCAGCAAGCUUUGAUUAAUCUGAUUUUGCUGGUGGUUAGCUUUUGUUGCCCUUUUGGUUUCCUUAAAAUGAAGAGUGGAUUUGUUCCUGUUUAGAUUAUCGCUGAAGGUGCAGGCUUAAUAAAAGGGCUGAAGGCUGUACUGUGUGGAGUUGAGCUGACCGGAUGGGAUGCACAGAAUUGGCUUAUAGCACGCACUUGUUGCUGCGGUAACUAUUGUUGGAUGUACUUCUCUAGGCAAAACCGAACCAGAGUGACGGGUCCAAAAAUUGCGAUACAAGUCUAGGCUUUUUUGGUGAGCUUUUUACACUCCGAGGUAAAAUGUUUUGGAAGCAACUAGGUACUUUUAUAAAAGUUUUGAGGUGUCAAAUCAGGCUUGUUUUUGAAGUGUGGGUGUAAGAGCAAGCUUGCAUGAUUUGUAAUAUUUGUCGGUUUGACACUAAACAUUGAGGUGGGUCGCAAAUUAUCCAGGAUUGCCUCAGCUUUGUCUGUGCAGUGUGUGGUGCUGCUGACCGUCUCUGAUAGCACUGAAUAACUGGAAUUGACCAGUCAGUGUCAUGUCCCAUGUGUGUAUAUCUAGUUGGAUUUGAGAGAUUAAUGCUUUUAGCCAGCCAUUUGUUUUUUGUGUCCUCGAUAAGUUAACAAAUGCCGUUUUUAACUCAGAUGGCAACUGAUAUUCAUUGAAUACCCUCAGCUUAGACUUGUAAUACACUUGUACGUGUGUUUAUCUGAGAUUUUGACUGAUAGUUACCUGCUAUUGCUAACUGUGUAAACUGAAGUAGCUGCAGUAGGCUCUGGUUUGUCAUAACUGUUGAUACUAAAUGGUUACAAAGCUAAAUGUGGUUGUAAUCAGUUGCCAAAACAACGACUUAGAUCAUAUGAGUAUACCAUCAAGUCGCUUAUUUGUGAUUAACUUUAAAAAAUAGCUUUGUUUUUAAAAGAUGAUAUUGUGUGGCGUUAGUUGUUGGCCAUUCAGUGUGUCUUAAGAGUUAAUCGAAAGCUGUUUGCGGUUUAUUUUACUUUAGUACAGUGCUUUUAUGAUUAGAUAAACUGCCAUAUGGUGUCAUCAAAAAGCCCCGGAUGUUUGGUUGCAGCCUUCGAAAACAUCAUGUCACGGCCUGACGGCUUAAGGGUAAAGAGUGGAUCAUCUGGUUUAUUUUAGCUCUGGUAACUGUACUCCCAACAAUAUAAAAGAUCAAAUGAAAGUUUAUCCCAGUCAGCUCAGCUCCUUUGCUUAAAAAGUCUUUGAAUGUUGUUAAAAAUAACAGCAUACCUGUAAUGAAACUGUUUGGAAAAGAACAACUGAAAGAUUUGUAAAUAGUUUGGCUUUUGUUUGUUUGAAGAACAAAAUAAAUACUAAAUAAAUAGCAUUUAGCAAUGA